rnacentral:rRNA from 1 species
GACGAACGCUGGCGGCGUGCUUAACACAUGCAAGUCGAACGGAAAGGCCCUGCUUUUGUGGGGUGCUCGAGUGGCGAACGGGUGAGUAACACGUGAGUAACCUGCCCUUGACUUUGGGAUAACUUCAGGAAACUGGGGCUAAUACCGGAUAGGAGCUCCUGCUGCAUGGUGGGGGUUGGAAAGUUUCGGCGGGUGGGGAUGGACUCGCGGCUUAUCAGCUUGUUGGUUGGGUAGUGGCUUACCAGGGCUUUGACGGGUAGCCGGCCUGAGAGGGUGACCGGCCACAUUGGGACUGGGAUACGGCACAGCCUACUACGGGAGGCAGCAGUGGGGAAUAUUGCACAAUGGGCGGAAGCCUGAUGCAGCAACGCCGCGUGCGGGAUGACGGCCUUCGGGUUGUAAACCGCUUUCGCAUGUGACGAAGCGUGAGUGACGGUAAUGGGUAAAGAAGCACCGGCUAACUACGUG